GUGGGGAAUAUUGCGCAAUGGGCGAAAGCCUGACGCAGCGACGCCGUGUGAGCGAAGAAGGCCUUCGGGUUGUAAAGCUCUGUCAGGGGGAACGAUGCCGUGGCAGCCUCAUACGCUGUCAUGGUGACGGUACUCCCAAAGGAAGCGCCGGCAAACUCCGUGCCAGCAGCCGCGGUAAUACGGAGGGCGCAAGCGUUGUUCGGAAUAACUGGGUGUAAAGGGCGCGUAGGCGGCCUUAUAAGUCCGGUGUGAAAUCCCUCCGCUUAACGGAGGAAGUGCAUUGGAUACUGUAUGGCUUGAGUACGGGAGAGGGAGAUGGAAUUCCCGGUGUAGAGGUGAAAUUCGUAGAUAUCGGGAGGAACACCCGUGGCGAAGGCGGUCUCCUGGAACGAUACUGACGCUGAGGCGCGAAAGCGUGGGGAGCAAACAGGAUUAGAAACCCCAGUAGUCC
rnacentral:rRNA from 1 species